ACCAAGACACAUUUUAUAGGUGUACAAUUCAUUUUGAACUAUCAGUUUUGAAUGUAGUUUAAAAUGUCCCUUGUGCUUUCUGCUACCUUGUAACCACAUAAUAAUACACUGUCUGAGACUUGGAAGUUCCUUACAUAAAUCACCAAUUUUGGUGUGGAUUUGAACUUUGGGAGUCCCAUCAUCUUUCCCUUAUCUGUUGUUUCAUCCUGGCCUCGAGAGUCAUCCAGACUGUUGGGCCACUCUGGUUAAAUAAUACCAGAGUCCAGGCUGUAAUGAGUUGGUGUCCAUGCUUUGUUCUGAAGCUUUAAUAUUUCCAUGAGUCUACAGGCUUGGCAGCUCUCUCUGAGUGUGUUGUUAGGGUUAGCACUUGCAGGAGGAUGUUCAUCAGGAGGCUCUUGAUUUCAUGUCUCAGGGAAACUCCCCAUUAGGGAAGAUCUUUCAGCAAUAUGGCCAGCAAGAAAGGAAAGGAGGAGAGCUUUUUGCUGGGAGCAUCCAAGGGAUUUGGUAUCAGGAGUCUUAGUUCUAAAGAUUUGCUUCGAAGAAUUAUUUGGAGCAAAUACAUGGGUGGGGGAGGUUGUAGACAAAGGAGGUAGUUGUUGUCCUCAGAAGGAGAGGACUUUUCGUUUUGCAGCUGAAUCAAUAUGAUUUUAAUUAUUUCUGGUUAUCUUUUAUGGGCUUGUAAGACAUUUCUUUUGUUCUGUGUAAUUAAAAACCCCAUUGUUAUAUCAGUUACUGACCACAUAUGAUAAGUAAUUUGAAACAUUCUUGAUGAAACUUGUCUGUUAAUUAACAUCAACACAGCUCAAGGACACUACCAGGACAACAAAGGUUCUGGGCAUGUGCCAUUCUUGGAAUUGAUGAGAUGUCUCUGGUGCCCAAUAAACCGAACCGAGAUGCCAAUGGUUAAAAAAAAAAAAACAACAACCAGGUGGGAAGGUCUGACUCAUCACCAGGGAAGAGUUGUAAAGUUGCACAAAAGAUUAUUGGAAUAUUACAAGCACGGGGAAGGCGGGGGAGGACCAAGUGUCAGCAGGCUGUUCCCGCCUGAUAGCCUGAUGGCUCAAGAACGGAAAAGUUUAUCCUUUUGUUUUCUGAGAUUUCUACCUGGACAAGGCCUGGUUCUAUACCCACAGAUAGGAGACAAAUUGGAUAUUAUUUGCCCAAAAGU
rnacentral:lncRNA from 1 species